rnacentral:sRNA from 1 species
AUGCCCUCCUGGGCCCUCUUCAUGAUCACCUCCUGCCUCCUCCUGGCCCCUCAAAACCUGGCCCAAGUCAGCAGCCAAGAUGUCUCCUUGCUGGCAUCAGACUCAGAGCCCCUGAAGUGUUUCUCCCGAACAUUUGAGGACCUCACUUGCUUCUGGGAUGAGGAAGAGGCAGCGCCCAGUGGGACAUACCAGCUGCUGUAUGCCUACCCGCGGGAGAAGCCCCGUGCUUGCCCCCUGAGUUCCCAGAGUGUGCCCCACUUUGGAACCCGAUACGUGUGCCAGUUUCCAGACCAGGAGGAAGUGCGUCUCUUCUUUCCGCUGCACCUCUGGGUGAAGAAUGUGGUCCUAAACCAGACUCGGACUCAGCGAGUCCUCUUUGUGGACAGUGUAGGCCUGCCGGCUCCCCCCAGUAUCAUCAAGGCCAUGGGUGGGAGCCAGCCAGGGGAACUUCAGAUCAGCUGGGAGGAGCCAGCUCCAGAAAUCAGUGAUUUCCUGAGGUAUGAACUCCGCUAUGGCCCCAGAAAUCCCAAGAACUCCACUGGUCCCACGGUCAUACAGCUGAUCGCCACAGAAACCUGCUGCCCUGCUCUGCAGAGGCCACACUCAGCCUCUGCUCUGGACCAGUCUCCAUGUGCUCAGCCCACAAUGCCCUGGCAAGAUGGACCAAAGCAGACCUCCCCAAGUAGAGAAGCUUCAGCUCUGACAGCAGUGGGUGGAAGCUGCCUCAUCUCAGGACUCCAGCCUGGCAACUCCUACUGGCUGCAGCUGCGCAGCGAACCUGAUGGGAUCUCCCUCAGUGGCUCCUGGGGAUCCUGGUCCCUCCCUGUGACUGUGGACCUGCCUGGAGAUGCAGUGGCAAUUGGACUGCAAUGCUUUACCUUGGACCUUAAGAAUGUUACCUGUCAAUGGCAGCAACAGGACCAUGCUAGCUCCCAAGGCUUCUUCUACCACAGCAGGGCACGGUGCUGCCCCAGAGACAGGUACCCCAUCUGGGAGAACUGCGAAGAGGAAGAGAAAACAAAUCCAGGAUUACAGACCCCACAGUUCUCUCGCUGCCACUUCAAGUCACGAAAUGACAGCAUUAUUCACAUCCUUGUGGAGGUGACCACAGCCCCGGGUGCUGUUCACAGCUACCUGGGCUCCCCUUUCUGGAUCCACCAGGCUGUGCGCCUCCCCACCCCAAACUUGCACUGGAGGGAGAUCUCCAGCGGGCAUCUGGAAUUGGAGUGGCAGCACCCAUCGUCCUGGGCAGCCCAAGAGACCUGCUAUCAACUCCGAUACACAGGAGAAGGCCAUCAGGACUGGAAGGUGCUGGAGCCGCCUCUCGGGGCCCGAGGAGGGACCCUGGAGCUGCGCCCGCGAUCUCGCUACCGUUUACAGCUGCGCGCCAGGCUCAACGGCCCCACCUACCAAGGUCCCUGGAGCUCGUGGUCGGACCCAGCUAGGGUGGAGACAGCCACCGAGACCGCCUGGAUCUCCUUGGUGACGGCUCUGCAUCUAGUGCUGGGCCUCAGCGCCGUCCUGGGCCUGCUGCUGCUGAGGUGGCAGUUUCCUGCACACUACAGGUACCGCCCCCGCCAGGCAGGAGACUGGCGGUGGACCGGGUGGAGCCUAAGGCCUCUAAACAGGCAUUCUUGGUUCGCUCUGUGACCCCAGAUCUCCGGCCACGGCCCGUGCGCACCUACAGCUUCGCCACUUCCUGCACGUCACCUCUGGGACUCGCCGCGGCUCCUUACACUCUAA